GACGAACGCUGGCGGCAUGCUUAACACAUGCAAGUCGAACGGAAAGGCCCUGCUUGCAGGGUACUCGAGUGGCGAACGGGUGAGUAACACCUGGGUGAUCUCCCCUUCACUUCGGGAUACGCCUGGGAAACUGGGUUUAUUACCCAAUAGGAGCCAUUUUGAGUGUGAUGGUUGGAAAGUUUUUGCGCUGUAGGAUGAGCUCGCGGCGUAUCAGCUUGUUGGUGGGGUAAUGGCCUACCAAGGCGGCGACGGGUAGCCGGCCUGAGAGGGUGGUCGGCCACAUUGGGUCUGAGAUGCGGCCCAGACUGCGACGGUAGGCAGAUGGGGGGAAGCUUGCACAAGGGGCGCAAGGCUGAUGCAGCAAGGCCGCGUGGGGGAUGACGGCCUUCGUGGUGUAAAAUGCUUGCGCGAGGGACGAAGCUUGUUUUGACGGUACCUAGAGAAGAAGCACCGGCUAACUACGUG
rnacentral:rRNA from 1 species